GAUGUAGCUCAGUUAGUAGAGUGCUUGCCUCCCAUGCACAAGGCCCUGGGUUCAAUCCCUGGCAUC
rnacentral:tRNA from 1 species